rnacentral:lncRNA from 1 species
AAAAAGUAAAAAAAAAUUUAUUCGCUCGAAAUUUGAUUUUGAACACCUCCAUGAUCAAAUCAGAGUAAAAGGAUUGACGGAUGAGACGAAAACUGUGGGUAAAGCCGGGCGGCGCCGCCGCAGGAAAAACCAAAAACCACCUUCGAUGAGGCCCUUCCUGAUUCCCAUUUUGUGCAAUUUUUCCACCAUUGUAUUCACCAUUAUGUUUUUCACAGGUUGACCAAAGAAAAAUACCCAACUGUGAAGGUGAGCCGGCGAAGCCGCCGUAUUGGAAAACUCCGCCACCGGUAAGUUUUUAUUUUUCGAUUUUUUUCGACCAACUGAGGCC